rnacentral:misc_RNA from 1 species
AGGAAUUUAAGACAAACAAACAAAUAUUGAAGUAUUAAAAUAUUCCCGCUAGAGGGCAGUUAGGUAGAUCCAGGGAAAAUGGCCGCUUUGCUAGGGAGCCUUUCGGCCCCAGCAAAAUCAGCUCCCGAUUCUGACGAUUCAGAACCGGGAGAGAAGCUUGGCCUACUGAUGGAGAGAUUGCGGCAGAAAAGAAGUCAACUCAAAUCUUGGGGAGAGACAUCAAAGAUGUUAAGAAUUGCUAUUAAUGACAAAAGACAACAGUCUACAGCAUUGGAAAAAGUUCAGUUACAGAAGUAUAUGGAGACACUGCAGAAGGCUUUGAAAGUGAAUACAGUACCAGCCUUGUUAGAGAGACUAGAGACCAUGGCAGUACAGACUGGCUUGAAGUACACCCCGAGUGCCAUGGGGUGCAUCAUAGCUUCUGACCUGUUUAAAGUGGAGGUCCUCUUUGAUGGCACUGGGGUUUUCAGGGAUGUCCGUGUGGCACACUGUGGGAGAGAUUCAGAAAGUUGCCCAGAGAUUCAAGAAAUUCUCAAGGCUGGAAAUCACUCUGAGUUUUUGGAACAUUUGAGAGGUCUGGUUUCCAUGUAUCAAAUAGGAGACAAAGACAAGAAACUUAGAAUCAAGGGUUUUAUGGCUUUGACAUCCCUGGAGUCAGAUCUGAACAGGGUAGCCCAAUUCCAGAGUUCAAUUAGUGGGGUUUCAAGUUAUAUACACAAGUCUCCUUUGGGAAUAUUACAGCCAAGAUGUGGAGGAAAACCGAUGAGGUUAACAUAUUUUGUAGCACCCUAUGACCUUUUAGAUGGGAAAGCCAAGAAAUCAUUGCCAAUGACUGUAGAAGCUAUCACUGAGAAUAACCUGGGUCAUAAUGCGGAGGUGUGUAUAUCACCCAGCAGUGGACACAAACUCCAGACCAUGCCACUGAUGACCAUCAAUAAGACAGAGGGGAAAAGCCUUCCACACUUUGCGGCACAAACCAGUUUGAACAGUGUCACACUUCCAGCACAAUUUAUUCUGAAACUUGGCAAGCCUAUCCCAGUGGCUGUCAGUAUAUUGAUGAAAAUACAGCAAACUACAGGUAUCCAGUUUGUGAACAUGUCCCAAGCACAACCAUUGGUGAAUCUUCUCAUACAGGAGGUGUAUGGUACCAAGAUGGACACACCCAGGAAAGGAAUUUCUGUGAAGUUACCAGGGCAGCAGCAUACAUAUGUGAUAAACGAUGGCAGCGCGGAGGAUAUGAUGGGCAUCGUAGUCGAUCAAAUCCCCUUCACCCUUCCAACCAAUGUCCCCAGCAUUCUACAGAGCCUCAGACAGCAACUUCUGUUUAAUACUCUCAUUGCUAGCUGUGUGAGAGGAAAGAGUGUAGAGGGUACAUCACAUUCACUGGUAUUUGAAGUGACACCAGUAUCCCUACAGUAUAUAACUGUUGCAUUUGAACAUCCACUCCAUACUUCCAUGGCAACAGCGGAGCUAGACUUGAGUGAUGUCACUACUGUGAAAUGUAAGCUGUACACAUUGUCAGGAGAUGAGACAAUUUGCUCUGAUGACUACGUGUGCAGAGUGAUUCAAAGGUGCUUAUCCAUCCCUGUGACAAUGCGUGCCAUAAUUCGCAAGGUGUCCAGUCAAAUAGAAAAGUUGCGCCCACCACCUGCAGCUCAGCCAACGGCAAACAUGCAAAACUUAUUAGCCAAACAAAUUAUGGACAAGAGACUCAGUUAUUUUGAGGCAACAAUACGAAAUCCAUUACUUUUAAAUGAGUUGAAAAUGAAUGAAUUUUCCACAAGGGAGAAUAUCAUUGGCCCCUUCACUCCUGGUUUGAUGCCAAAUCAUCCAAUCGGAUCGCAGGGGCCAACGAGCAUGUACAGGUUUCCCAAUGUGAUGGCAGGGGGGCCUCAGUACGGUAACCAUUACGAUGGUGGUGGACAUGGUCAGUCGGGUCUAGUCACACCUGAAAUGGAAAGUCUAGAAGAGAAACGGGAACGGGUAAAUAAGAAUCCCAUGCUGGCUAGUCUUCUUGAUCAGGACACUCCAAGUCCUGACCCACAAAUUCAACAACAGCAAGUGCAACAGCAGCAACAGCAGAACUCUAUCUUGUCUAGCUUACUUGGAGAUCAGCCCCCCACCCCCAUGGCAGCACCUACAAAGCAAAGAAAAAAGCGCAUGAGACGUUCAACAUCCACGACCGACGGCGGUCGAAGUCCAGGAAGCAGCACAGGCAAAAGUCCCAAACGCAAAGUCAGCGAGGCUGAAGAAUUUGAAAAUCGGCUGAAGGAAAUGGAAGUUGACCAGUCAGCGGGAGACCCAUUUGAUUCUUCAGUUGGAAGUAGUAUCAGCAAUCCUGCGUUAACAAGUUCCCAAGUUUAUGGGGAUCAGGUGGAUCCGUUCAGUGUCCCAGUGGAAUCCCAGAUUGAUAAGCUGAAAAACAGUGUCGAUAACUUUAUCAAAAAGGAGUCCAAAUCCAUCAAUUCCUGUCAGGGGUCGUCUGAGUUGUCAAUGUUGCUCAGUGAUAUUGAGACUGACACUCAGGUAGGGGGCAGCAUGAUCAGGCGACCUAGCUCCGGAGAUGCCAGACCGGGUAGUGCACAUAGUCUUGCGCGAAGCACCAGUGGUGCCAGUGUUGAAGAAAUUCUCACGAAUCGUACGACUCCAUUAGAUCCAGAUGCAUUUCAGGGUAAAGAUGGAGGAACAUUCACACCAACACAGUUUCUAGGGGAGCCUGGUAAAGUAAGCAGGAAAUUCAGCAAAGGCUCUACAGAGUCAAUGGAGUUUAAUGCAGAUCUUUUAAAUCCAGAUUCAAGUUUUGCUGACAGUUUGAUAGAGAAUGCAACUGAUGAGAUGGAUCUGGACACUUGUGAUGCUAAUGCCUUUGGUGUGGGGUUUAACCCAGUAGCCAUCAUGGCUUCCAAGAUGGCUGCCAAGGUAGAAACUGCUGACUCUCAGCAGGGGAAUGGUGCUAGUAAAAGUCCAAGCAGGAAAACGCCUGUACAGAGAUCCAAUUCUCGGACAAAUCAUAACUUUGAGCGCUCCAACUCCCUUGAGGAGAAACCUGUGGAAACAUCAAAUACCCCUAAUAAAAGCCUGGUUAUGUCACUAAAACAGUCAGAACUACAAUCCAAGGUAGACUCACCACAAGAAGCCCUGGAUUUAUCCAAAUCUUCAAAAGAUUUCACUAUGAACGAUGAGACACCGGGGUUAAAAAAUGACCUUGGGCCAUCCCCGUUAGACCUGACCGCGGACAUAGAAGUGGCCAAAAUAACCGGGUCAGGUGGAGAGAUGGCCGCAAGUAAGGGCAUGGAACUGGUCAGUCCUCUCAAAAUCCCAGCAUUUGCAGUCAGCCAAAGAACAGGAACAGGUGCGAAAAAGGAAAGGACUUUGUCAAAUAAAAGUGGUAAGAUUCCAAAAGAUGCCAAAAGGCGGAACAGUGAUCGGGAGGGUGGGAAACGUAAGAAGGAGGAUUCAGGAAAAGAGAAAACUGGCAAACGCAGAAAGACCAUUUCGAGUAUCGAAGGUCAUCCUCAGGGGGAUCAGAUUUACAGCAUUGAGCAGGCAAAGAAGCCAACUGCAAUUAAAAUCACAACCAGUAAGCUGAAAAGUGUAAAGCCGUCAGUAGAUGGCAGUACUAAUAAGAUGGACUUAUCCAAAGCAUCAGUGUCUGCCAAACCAAAAGUAACAGUCAUACCUCCAAUGAGCUCAAAGAAACCAGAAUCUGGUCAAAAAGGCAUGAUGUCACCUCCUGUUGUGAACAAAUCUGGCCAACCAGUCAUGUCGGGUAAGACGCCAACCACACCUUCCCCCACGCAUAAGCUUCUGUCAUCAAAGAUAUCCCCCACACAAUUUGGGAAGUCACCAACCAUAGGAAGGAAUUCACCAUCUUUAAAAAACUUAUCCGGGAAGGCCUCCCCAAUGUCACGAUCGCCUAGUGUUGGUGGUAAAAGUAGGAAAGCUAAUAAUCAAGUGACUGUAAGUAAGCAGGACUCAAAACUUAUGAACAAGACCCCGACUAUUAAACUUAAACCUAUUGCCCUUCCUGCCAACCAACCCCCAGGCACAGGAACAACAACAUCAUCUGCCUCCCCUGGAGCAACUGGGAAGCAGCCAUUCACUCCCACAACACCAACAACGCCUGGGAAAAUCAAGGCACGGAAGAAGUCACUCUCAGCAGUUAUUGACAACCUUACAAAGCAAAGCAAUUCUGUAGUUCUUCCGCAGACUGCAGAGCCCGGUGUUGAGAAGAAAGAAGAGGAGAAGAAAAAGGAUGACAAAACUGGUUUGGAUGUCUUGAAACCAGACACAACUGGUUUCUUGUCUAGUUACAAAAUUCCCAAAAAGGUAAAGUCGGAAACGCCUGUGACUACCUCGAGUGCUGUGACAGCCUCUCAGGACAAACCAUCCAGUACUGAGAGAAUGAACGUUGAAUUGAAAUCUGCUGACAGAAAUACCUCUGAUUCGACAAGCAAAACCAAAAGUGAAAAAGUUUUAAAUGCAGGCAACCCAAGUACUAAACCUGUUAAUAUUACCUCCAGUCCAGGAAGAGCUCCACUCCCUCCCAGUCGUGUAGGUGGCAGCACAUCCUCAUCGCCCAGAACAUUCAAACCAAAUUUUGGAACAAGUGGGGCACCUUAUAGCACAAACAAUGUAAAUAGUUCUAAAAACAAUGGAGAUGAAAUAAAUAAUAGGACAAGCAUUGGGGCUAAAACCAACCCUGUCUCAACUGGGGCAGCCACAAGAUUAGACUUUACAAAGCCACCAGCAAGCCCACCUCCAUCCGAAACUCUGACUCAAAAACCGCAAAAAGAAAUUCCAUUGAAAAGCAUUAGUGAGAAAGACAGUGUGGAAAAGACUCAUGUAUCUGACUCUGCAGCUAAAUCUCUCCAGUCCAAAAACGUGAAUGGCUUGAAUAACAAUAAUAAUAAUAAUGGAAAAACUGGCAAUGGUGCUUCCCUAAAGAGUGGAGUAGAAAAAAGGCGAGGUCUGUUUGAUUCUAUAGGAUUCGAACCCAAAACUGAAUCUACAGAUAAGGGAAAAGACUCGGAGAACAGGGUAAAUUCAAUAGGUGGGUUUACAUCUGAAAAGCAAGAUUCAAAACAGCAAUCCAGCUAUGAUGGAAUAAGUAACCAAUCGACAUCAAGUUUUGACAUGACUUUGAACUCUCAAAAAUUGGGGUCAUCUCCAAGAGUCUCUUCUUCAUCAUCAUCAUCAUCUUCGUCUUCAUCACAAACAAGUAGUAGUAAUCUUAGAAGCAAUCAUGUUGUUGGAAAUGACAGCACAAAUAGUCCCACUUCAACCAGUACUGUCAGGCCUCAACAAAGUGACAAAGACACUGAUAACAUUUUUAAAGCUCCGACUCCAAAACCUCCCGAGUCCCCAAGUCCUGCUGGCACAGUGUUAGAAAAUAAUAAAAGAGACGAUGGGUCACCUGCACCCAAACGCAUAAGAAUCGAGUCUCAAAAACCAGUCUUAAGCCCAAGAAGUGACGCUAGUAGUCCUGAUAACCUGAUUAUCGACUAUCCAUCAACGCCAAAGUCUUCUCAGCAAACUGGCGCUGUCAGAUCCCCUACAGCGAAACUCGGUAGUGAGUCCCCUGCUAUUGGGGCUAUCCCACAAUCCCCUGCAGAGGAGGCAGCCAUGCAUUCUCCCGCUGCCGUAACCUUGAAAUCACCAGCUCCAGCAAUGCCCAUCAAGUCUCCGUUGCCACAUGCUCCUUCGCCUUCUCCAUCAGCCAAUAAUAAAUCGAGUUCUGCCAGUAGGGGAACGUCACCAGGCGAUACAGCUUGUGAUCUGGAUGAUGACUUGAUGGAUGCAGCAUUAAUGAACUAAAAGGUGCUCCUUAUCAGAAUCGUGAAGCUUCAACAAAAUGAGGGAUGAAAACCAAGCUUGUAGGUACCAAGUGACUGUCUAUUCAACCAGGCUUUGUUAUAAUCAACAGGUGAAAAACCAUGAAGUACCAAGAGAGUGUAAGGUCAACCAGGUGAUGUAAGUGGACCUUUUCAAGACCAGUCUUUGCAUCAGUAUAUCCAAAGGCCCUGAAAAGAACACAUAAUCAGGACUCGCAUCACUCUUCAAUGAAAUGCGUGCAAAAUGUAUUGCAACCCAACACCACCAUUUAGGGCUGAGACCUGAGGGAAUAGUUUGGCUUGAUGUGGUAACCAAUCAAAUAGGAUGCUGAGCACCAUGGAGCAACCACACUUGGUGUACUUGGUGCUGUUAGAUCUUUCAAACCAAGAUGGCUGGAAGAUGUUUCAAAGACGGUCGUUUAGGAAGGGAAUGGUUCAUGAUGAAAUGACAAACUAAAGAAGCAAGUUUGCUUUAACCACUUCCGAAUAUCACCGUUGUUCCUGGUAAAGAGAGGUUGGGACACAUGGUGUGGUGUUGGUGGGUGGACAUGUACCUGUCACAGCUGAGACCGAAGGCAAAUGUGUUAAGAAGCAUUUUUAUCUCAGAUGAAAUGCACUGUCCUUGUAGUGACCAGAAAUAAUAAGGAUUUGACAAGUGAACUGAAAUCAGAAAUUAGUGCCGAGUUAUAUGAGCACAACAACAAGAUUUGGCUUCAGGUUGGAGUAAGUAGAAAGUUACCAUCUUAAGCUAGUUUGACCUUAGAUGGUUUAAGAUUUGUAAUUGGAAUUUGUGCCGAAAUGAUGCCAAAACAAUAACAGAAACCUUAAAGUGGAAAGAUAUCAGUAAAUUAAGUGAUGUAUACAGUCAACUUCUACUUAAUCAACAACAUUUGGUGUUUAGGAUAAACAAAAACAAAUUAGUGAAUGAAGUGUAAAUGUGUUUAUAAUCAGUGAAGAAGGCAGUGCUUGCAUUGGUCAUGAGGGCAUAAAUAUGAAAUCUGAAAAUGUUUGCC